rnacentral:rRNA from 1 species
AUUGAACGCUGGCGGCAGGCCUAACACAUGCGAGUCGAACGGUAACAGGAAGAAGCUUGCUUCUUUGCUGACGAGUGGCGGACGGGUGAGUAAUGUCUGGGAAACUGCCUGAUGGAGGGGGAUAACUACUGGAAACGGUAGCUAAUACCGCAUAACGGCGCAAGAGCAAAGAGGGGGACCUUCGGGCCGCUUGCCAUCGGAUGUGCCCAGAUGGGAUUAGCUAGUAGGUGGGGUAACGGCUCACCUAGGCGACGAUCCCUAGCUGGUCUGAGAGGAUGAGCAGCCACACUGGAACUGAGACACGGUCCAGACUCCUACGGGAGGCAGCAGUGGGGAAUAUUGCACAAUGGGCGCAAGCCUGAUGCAGCCAUGCCGCGUGUAUGAAGAAGGCCUUCGGGUUGUAAAGUACUUUCAGCGGGGAGGAAGGGAGUAAAGUUAAUACCUUUGCUAAUUGACGUUACCCGCAGAAGAAGCACCGGCUAACUCCGUG